rnacentral:rRNA from 1 species
UGUAAAGUUCAAGCCCCGAUUAUGAGGGCGAAACCGCGAAUGGCUCAUUAAAUCAGUCAUAAUCUACUUGAUUGUUUAAAGUUUAUAUGGAUAACUGUGGUAAUUCUAGAGCUAAUACAUGCACAAAGAGGGUGACUCUCGCAAGGGAGAAGCUCUGCGUUUAUUAGACUAAGACCAAUGACUCCUUCGGGCAGUCUACAUUAAGGUGACUCUGAGUAAAUAAUGGGUGCAAACCCAUGAUGCCGACCUGACAUACCAAAAAGGCCUAAAGCCUUGUCAGGCAAAUCAAUCGAGUGUCUGCUCUAUCAACUGUGGAUGGUAGGAUAAUUGCCUACCAUGGUGGUGACGGGUAACGGGGAGUUAGGGCUCGACUCCGGAGAACAAGCCUGAGAAACGGCUAGUAGGACUAAGGUCUGCAGCAGGCGCGAAACUUACACAAUGCUAGAUUACAAUUAGCGAUGUAGUGAAGAAAAAUAACGAUGUACUUCCAUUUAAACAUGGUAGUACAAUUGGAAUGAGACGACUAUAAAUGAGUUAGUCGAGUAACAAAUGGAGGGCAAGUCUGGUGCCAGCAGCCGCGGUAAUUCCAGCUCCAUUAGCAUACAUUAAAGUUGUUGCGGUUAAAAAGCUCGUAGUUGAAUUUUAGGCGGGCUCUAUUGGGUCCCAACCGUUACGGCGCAGCGCAACAUGGUUCGCCCAGUCGCCUGUUGCUGGUUGGCGGCUCCAUUAGGAACCCGCUGUUUCGUCACUUAAUCGAGUGCGAAGCGGGCUGGCACGGUACCAACUCCGGUUGGGUCAUCGUUUCAGCAUGUUUACCUUGAGAAAAUUAGAGUGCUCACAGCAGGCAGUUGGGGUGUAAAAGCUCCUUUAUGCUUGAAUAAUGUUGCAUGGAAUAAUAGAAUACGGCCUCGGUUCUAUUCUGUUGGUCUUAUAGAACAACAAACAAGUUGGUUAAAGCGACCAAAAAGUUCGCUUGCGAGUGUGGCUCGGCCGGUUAUGUUGCCUGGGAGGUAAAAGUUUCAGCGCCUUGCCGGUCGCGCCAUCAAAAGCACUCCUUGCGGGCUAGCUUUCUAAUCAACUGAGGCAAUGGUUAAAAGAAAUAGUCGCGGCGGCAUCAGUACUGCAUCGUGAGAGGUGAAAUUCUUAGACCGAUGC